rnacentral:rRNA from 1 species
UUGGAGGGCAAGUCUGGUGCCAGCAGCCGCGGUAAUUCCAGCUCCAAUAGCGUAUAUUAAAGUUGUUGCAGUUAAAAAGCUCGUAGUUGAAUUUCGGGGUCAGUAGGUUGGUCGUGCCACCGGUACGUACUGGUCUCACUGAUUCCUCCUUCCUGAUGAGCUGUAAUGCCAUUAAUUUGGUGUUGCAGGGAAUCUGGACUGUUACUUUGAAAAAAUUAGAGUGUUUAAAGCAGGCUAACGCUUGAAUACAUUAGCAUGGAAUAAUGAAAUAGGACGUUCGAUCCUAUUUUGUUGGUUUCUAGGAUUGACGUAAUGAUUAAUAGGGAUAGUUGGGGGCAUUAGUAUUCAAUUGUCAGAGGUGAAAUUCUUGGAUUUAUUGAAGACUAACUACUGCGAAAGCAUUUGCCAAGGAUGUUUUCAUUAAUCAAGAACGAAAGUUAGGGGAUCGAAGACGAUCAGAUACCGUCGUAGUCUUAAUCAUAAACUAUGCCGACUAGGGAUCGGAUGAUGUUAAUUUUUUAAUGACUCAUUCGGCGCCUUACGGGAAAC